rnacentral:rRNA from 1 species
UACGUAGGGGGCAAGCGUUGUCCGGAUUUAUUGGGCGUAAAGAGCGUGUAGGCGGUUAGGUAGGUCCGUUGUGAAAACUCGAGGCUCAACCUCGAGACGCCGAUGGAAACCAUCUGACUAGAGUCCGGAAGAGGAGAGUGGAAUUCCUGGUGUAGCGGUGAAAUGCGCAGAUAUCGGGAAGAACACCCGUGGCGAAGGCGGCACUCUGGGACGGUACUGACGCUGAGACGCGAAAGCGUGGGGAGCGAACAGG